rnacentral:SRP_RNA from 1 species
AAAAACUAAGUGAAGAAUGUCUUGUCAAGAAGCUUAUGGGGCUGUAUAUUCCCCGAGUGAAUGAGCCUCCAGGGGUAUCCUGACCGGCCGCUGCGUAACAUACCAUCAUGAACCUCGUCAGAUCCGGAAGGAAGCAGCGAUAAGUGAAACGGUAUGUGUCGUGGAUCGAUCCCGGUCAGGAUACCCUUGGAGGUUUGUUUUA